GCCUGCCCAGUGAUAACAUUUUUAACGGCCGCGGUAUCCUAACCGUGCAAAGGUAGCGCAAUCACUUGUUCUUUAAAUAAGGACUAGUAUGAACGGCGCCAUGAGGGUCAUCUUGUCUCUCGCGCUAAGUCAAUGAAACUGAUCCCCCAGUCCAAAAGCUGGGAUAUCCACACAAGACGAGAAGACCCUGUGGAGCUUCAAACUGCACCUCACCAAAAUUUGAGCCUGCCGUUUUUGGUUGGGGCGACCUUGGAGCAAAACUAAACCUCCAAACCCUUAAACUUUAGGCCUACGCGCCAAAAGAACCGAAAUUCUUCGACCCAAUACAAUUGAUCAAUGAACCAAGUUACCCCAGGGAUAACAGCGCAAUCUUCUUUUAGAGUCCCUAUCGAUAAGAAGGUUUACGACCUCGAUGUUGGAUCAGGAUACCCAAAUGGUGCAGCCGCUAUUAAAGGUUCGUUUGUUCAACGAUUAACAAUCCUACGUGAUCUGAGUUCAGACCGG
rnacentral:rRNA from 1 species